rnacentral:rRNA from 1 species
AACGAACGCUGGCGGCAGGCCUAACACAUGCAAGUCGAACGCCCCGCAAGGGGAGUGGCAGACGGGUGAGUAACACGUGGGAACGUACCCUUCGGUUCGGGAUAACUCAGGGAAACUUGAGCUAAUACCGGAUACGUCCGAGAGGAGAAAGAUUUAUCGCCGAGGGAUCGGCCCGCGUCUGAUUAGCUUGUUGGUGAGGUAACGGCUCACCAAGGCGACGAUCAGUAGCUGGUCUGAGAGGAUGAUCAGCCACAUUGGGACUGAGACACGGCCCAAACUCCUACGGGAGGCAGCAGUGGGGAAUAUUGGACAAUGGGCGCAAGCCUGAUCCAGCCAUGCCGCGUGAGUGAUGAAGGCCCUAGGGUUGUAAAGCUCUUUUACCCGGGAAGAUAAUGACUGUACCGGGAGAAUA